AGGUGACCCACGCUUGGGGCUGCUUCACAGGGGUGUGACCUGGGAGCAACACAGGGUCAGGCGCUUGGAAGGGCUCCGUGCCCAGAAGGGUUCUGUGCUUGGUUUAAUGCUCUGUUGUCACCAUCUUGAAAUUCUUAACUUUUUAGCAAAGGGCCCAGUUUUUCAUUUGCAGUGAGCUAUGCCCUAAGAACUGACCAACGCUGGAGCUUUAGGCUUCCUAGGUGUUGGCGACUUGUGGAGAGAGGCUCCUGUGGGGCUGCUCACCCACACCAUCCGGCUGCCAUUAGCACUGCCAGUUAAAGUUGCUGGGAACCUCUGUGUGCCGGGCACUGUGUUAGAUGCUGGAGAAGCAGAAGGAAGGAGGCUGGGCACCUGCCCCAGGAGCUGCCAAUCAAGACUAGAGACUGGCAGCUGAGAUGGAAGGAGCCCUUCAGGACAUUUCUGUGCCCUUGUCAAAGCCAUCUAAACCCCGCCCUCUGCGCACACAGCCCAACACCAGACAAGAGCGUGCCUUACGCUCCUCUCGAAUUGUUUCAAGUGUGCAGUAGCAUUUGCACAAUUGGAUUCUAAACCUUAGACGUCGUCUUUAACUUCUUUUGUGAAAAUCACAACUGUUCUGUCUGCGUAACCAGAACAGGCACCUGGCAAAAGUUUGCUGGAGGAAACGGAACUGAACGACCCUUGGCAGAGUGGAGCUUCCUGCCCGCCUCCCUUCCCUUCCAGCUCUCAGCCUCUCGACCUUGACACGUUCCUUGCCAUCCCCACUCCCGUUUCCCGUACUUUGCAUGCCUGGGACGUGCUCGCUUCUUCCUGGACCCCUUCCCGCCGGUGCCGGGAUCUUGGGACCCAGGCAAGGAGGGGCUGCGGCUCCUGAGCUCUCACCCAACCCUGCAGGCCGGGUGUCAUCUCAUGCAACAGCUGACGGUGACGCCUCCACCACUCUGGUGUCACUUUUAACACUGCACGUUCACACCACCGGCUGACUGUCUGCGCAAGGCGGCCCCAGCAGAGCCGCGUGCAGCCGCACCCCACAUGUGCAGUUGUGAAGCCGGCAGUUGUUCAGCAGGUUCUCAUGGCCUCACUUCCAGACGUGUUACUUCUGGAGGGAACAACACCACGGAACUGCCAAGCUCUCCCAAGAAGGAACGACAGGACCUGCCUGUCCCGUGUCGGCCUGGAGGGGGAGGGGAGGCGUUUCGGAGCGAUGGCAUGCAACGACCUGGGCCCUGGACCUCCGCUACCUGCACACAGUUCCCUACGUUAGAAGAACAAGAGGAGGAAGAGAAAAAGGAAGAGGGAAAUCAUGUCACCGUGCCACUAAACCCUUCUAUUAAAUCUGCCUGUUCACCACGUUUUCAGGCUAUUUCAUGAUGUAAUAGUAAGAGACAAAAGCAACAGCCGCACCCCUAUACACGAUGUGAUCUCAGUUGUGCAGCGUGUGCCGGGCAUGAUCACUCUUCACCUACAUCAGACUCCCGCCACUUUCAGGCGGCUGGAGGAUUCACUUCCUCCUCUCCCGAGAACAGGCUUGGCUACGUGACUUGCUUUGGCUAAUGAAAUGUGACGGACGUAAUGCGUCACUUCCGGUGCCGUAUUUAAUUGCUGGCGCUCCCCUCCCCAGCCCACUCUCCUGCCUCAGCAGCCUUCGGAGGUGGCUGAUCUGCAGCGCCCGGAAGAUGGCAAGGGCCACCGCAGUGGGGAGGGCACCCCUGAGAGUCCCCCAGACUCCAGUGACCUGGGUAGGAGCAGAAACAAACCUUUGUGCUGUGAAACCCCUGAGACUUCUGCAUGGCUUUCCUUGCAGCCCAAGCUGCCCCAUAUUGACUGAUACAAUAAAUAUAGGAAACAGGUGGAAAGAACAUCAUCAGGAAAUAGGGAAGUUACUGGUCAUUUUUGUUUUUAAACUUUUCUAAAUUUUCCAAAUUCUGAAUAGUCAGCAUGUAUUAUUUUUGUGACUUUUUUUUUUCAGUUUUAUUGAUUUAUAAUUGACAUACAGCACCGUGUAAGUUUAAGCAGUACUUUUAUGAUAAAAAAGAUGUUAGUCUUAAGCAUAGCUGACUUUUUUGAGUAGAUGACUGUGUCUUUGGCACUGUGCUAGAGAUGUUAGCUGUGUCAUCUCAUUUCAUUCUCAAAAACCCUGAAGGGAUUUUCUCAUUUUAAAAAGGAGAAAUCUGAGGAUUAGAAACAUUGGGUGCCAAGAACUCUAUACUCAUUGUCCCGUUGAUCUCCUCAGAGGCUCCAAAUAUUUCAUUCCAGUUUUAAAGAUGAGCCUCACAGAAGUUAAAUGAGUUGCCCACAGUUAAUCACCUAGGAAUUGAAGGCAGCGAAAUUGAGACAACAACCGUGACAGCAGACACCUUUUAUUGGAUGCUUCUAUGUGCCAGGCCCAGUAUGAUCUCAUUGUUCCGUCUCAGUAGCUCUAUGAUGUAGGUACUGGUAAUUAUCUCAACUUUCUAGAUGGAAAAAAUGGAGGCUCAGAGAGACUGAGCCACUUGCCUAGGGUCACACAGCUAGUAAUUUGCAGAGCUGGGAAUGACAUCUUGGUCUGCCCAAAUUUUGUUCAGCUCAUUUUGCUGAGAGCAGAGGUGGUACAAAUGGUGACUUUAGGUAACACACAUACAGAAGUUUUAAAAUUAAAUAUAUAUUUUUAUAAAAGUAUUUAUGCAGAAAAAUUUAAAAGUCAAAUGGUACCAUGAAGCCGAUAAUGAAGGCAGCAGUCCUGUCUCUCCCUCACCCCCAGCCCCCUCCUCAGAGGCAACUACUUUCCACCCUUUUAGCUGUUCCUUCUGGCAUUUUCUUUCAUGUUUCUAAAUAUCAUUCUUUACCAUUAUUUUCUUAGAUAUUAUUCACUGGCUUCGUUCUGUGGAAAAUUGCUGCUGCUCCACCAGACCCCACACACAAACCCACUUUUCCUUCCAAUAUGGUUCUAGCGCAGUUUUUAAUCAAUACUCAGUUUUUACAUUAUUCUCUCUACAAAUAUAUUAUUCGCAGCUAAACCAAAUACUGUAUUAGGGGUAUAGUUGCUGUCUUCUACAGGUUUUUUGUUUUCCCUGGAGUUAGUAAUCACCUCAGGUUUUCAUUUAAUUGGUAAAAUCACUCAUUCUUCCCACAAACAUGCCUAGCUUCUAGCAAUAUAUUCAAACACAUCUGGUAACCGAGCUGUCCUAUUUUUUUCUUGAAGCCCCCUGUCCUCGUGCUCCCCCGGGCCAGCUGAUGUCCUGGCUGUGUGCAUAGGAGAAGUCCUGCAAUUUCUCUUCAUCAUCCUGAGAUUUCCCUUCACUUCUCUCCUACGUUGCUGGUUCCUUGUUUCUUAGAUCCUAAGCCAUCUUCCUUCUUGGUUCACUCCCUUCGUUGUUUAACGUGUAUGCCAGUAGCUUCCUUGGAAACUGCAUAUGGGAGUUCAGUUUGGGGAUAAUUGAUUGACAGUUUGGCUAGAUGCAUAAAUCUUGGUUGGAAAUCAUCUUCCUCCAGAAUUCUCAAGGCAGUUCUCUAUUGGCACGUGGCGUUCUGGGUUGAUGUUAAAAAGUCUGACGCCAUUCUGGUUCCUGAUCCUCAUUACGUGACCUUUUCAGUCUCUGAAAGCAUCUAGAAUCUGCUCUUUAUCUCUGAUGUUCUAAAAAGUUACUUAAUAAAAUUCAACAUUUAUUCUGAUAAAAAAGCUUCUAUUUAGGUCUAAUUGAGCUAGGUUGAUUCUGUCAUGACUCAAAAUUUAGUCACUAUAAAAAUGUGCGUACAGGCAACAUGAGGCCAUUGCUUGAUAGUGACUGAUUGUCUACUAUAUACAAUAGCUAGUGGACCAAAACAGCCUUUCUUUUUGCAACACCCAAACCUCAAUGCACGGUCUUCUGCAUAAGGAUGUCAGUUCUCCCUAAGUUAAUCUACUCAUCAACACAAUUGCGAUGAGAAUGCCACUUCUCACGGGACUAGACAAGUUGAUUCUAAAGUUGAUGUGGAAAAAACCAGUAGCACCAUUACGCAGGAAAAGUUUGAAAAAGAAAUGUAAAGAGCAGAGAUAACCCUAUCAGAUAUUUACACGUAUUUUAAAUCUGUUCUACAGCUAAAAUGAUUAAAACUAUGGUGCAAGUACGUGAAUAGAUAUAUAACUUGGAAAUUAUAGGAAGUCACCCGAUAUAUAUAUAGGAAGUUACUAUAUGAUCAAGUUGGCAUUUUAAAAACAGGAGUUAUCCAUAUUUAGUAUUGGGACAAUUGGCUACCCAUCUGUAAAAGAAAUUAAUUUAGAUCCUCAUUUCACAUGUUACACCAAAAUAAAUUCCACGUGAAUCAAAGGUUUAAAUGAAAUCAUGAAAUCCUUAAAGUACCAGAAGAAAACAAGGGAUAUGAGAAGAAUCUAUUCAGCCUCUACUCUAGGUCAGUGCCCCGCGAUAGUCAGCAGUCCCAGCUUGUGGGUUGUUGACUGAAUAACAGAUUAUCAGGUUCUGUACUAGAUGCCAUACCAGUGGCUGUCAGUAGUAAGGCUUGGACUAGAUUUGCUAUACUAUGUAAUUUGUUUGUUUACCAGUGUUAAAAUAUUUUUGGUUUUGAUCUAAUAUUUUUAAAUGGAGAGAUUUCACAUAAAAAAUCUAGAUUUCAGACUUCCCCUGAAACAUCUAAAUGUCUGGCAGCACUGGGCCCUCAUUCCUGCAUGGAGCAAUCAACGGAGCCUCUGCCCUUUGCUGCGAGGAUGGGGCACAUGGCCUCCAGGUCCUCAGGAGUUAACAGGACCCAGUGAAGAGGAGUGGUGCCCAGUGGCCCAGUGAGCUGGGAGCCCUGGGGUGAGGGACCUGUCCAGGCAGAGGCAAUGGCCUUGAGGCAGCAACACAGGAGGUGGGCGAGGCUGGUGUGUGGGAGCAAAGGGAGAGUGAAGGAUGCAAGGCAGAGGGGCCAGGCGGGAGCUCGGGGUACUGGCUCCUGGCCUGGCUGCACCCUGGAGUCACUCAGUGAGGGGACAGCCUGGGGAUGGGGAUUCUAACGGCAGCCAGGUGAGAAGGGCCCGGCUGCUGAGGUGUUAGGCCCGAGGAGGGUUUUGAGCAGAGGAGUGACAGGACCUGACAAUUUUAAUAACAAUGACUGAUUGAGUGUGGAGACCAGGCUGUCGAGGGACGGACUAAGGGAGAUCCUGGGAGACCAGGUAGGGGACCUCAGCAGUCACCGGGCAGUAGAUGGGUCUGACUCAUCUAUUUGAUGCUGUGAUGAAAUUGUCAGAUUCUGGAUGGACCCAGAAAGACAGGAGUGAAGGGUGAUUCUUCAGUUUCUAACCUGAGCGGUUUGGUGAAUGGAGGGACCGUGGGCUGAGGAGCGUCCUCCGGGGGAGUUCCGUGUGCGUCCGCUCCCUCUGCAGCAGGGCUCACAGGGGAGGGAAGGGGGAUUUUCAGGUACGCGUGCUGCCGGACUCCACUGCCCCCUAGACACACUCACACACACAUACACACACACACUCACUCCGUACUUCAGAGCUUCCUGCUCUGCUUCUUCACAAGGGCCAGACCAGUCGGCCUUCUCUGGCAUCAAACAAACCAAGCACAGGAUUACCCCACGCCUUCCACAAAAAUCGCAGGAAGCUUCCAUUUGUGUAGACCAACACGAAUUGUAGACGCACGAUCUGGAGAGCCAGUGGACGACAUUUCCACUUACAGUCUACCCUGGGUUAUGCAAUGCUCAUCAAGUGCCUCCAUUUUCAAAAAUCUCGUCUUUUGCCUCCAAACAAGUUCCAGAAACAUUAAAAAGAUCCAGCUCAAUUCCUUCAGCCUCAGCCGCAGGGACUGAUGACCCACAGUGCUAAACGUUGUUGGCCCCAGACGUCUGACCUGCGACCCGACGCUCUGAUGAACGAGUGGAAACCCAUGUGCAGCAGCGGCUUCUCUGCUCUGUCAAGGGACGUCCCCCAGUGGGGUGACAACUCCACGUCGGAGGUAUCUGCUGGCUCUUUGAGAGACUUUGGGACGAGCUCUUUAUCCCGUGGUGACAGCGUCCACAUCUAAAUGGCUUCAUCACAACGAGAAGCAGCUCACCGUUAGGUAAACUCAGAGCCCUCAGGAGGAAAAAAUGGUGACUUUCUAAAAUAAAUCAUUUCUCCAGAUGUCUGUGGGCUCUUGUCACACCUUUAGUGUUUCCAGAGGCAAAGGCGUGGACUGUGGGAACCAGGAAACAGUCCUGCUGAUAUUCAAAUGCAGCUUUCUUAUUGGAAACCAAACCACUACAGAAACAGACCCAUCUUUGUUCUCAAGGGAUUUCUGAA
rnacentral:lncRNA from 1 species